rnacentral:rRNA from 1 species
UACAGAGGGUGCAAGCGUUAAUCGGAUUUACUGGGCGUAAAGCGCGCGUAGGCGGCUAAUUAAGUCAAAUGUGAAAUCCCCGAGCUUAACUUGGGAAUUGCAUUCGAUACUGGUUAGCUAGAGUGUGGGAGAGGAUGGUAGAAUUCCAGGUGUAGCGGUGAAAUGCGUAGAGAUCUGGAGGAAUACCGAUGGCGAAGGCAGCCAUCUGGCCUAACACUGACGCUGAGGUGCGAAAGCAUGGGGAGCAACCAGG